GUUAUAUGGUCAAGUGAAGAAGCGCAUACGGUGGAUGCCUUGGCAGUCAGAGGCGAUGAAAGACGUGGUAGCCUGCGAAAAGCUUCGGGGAGUCGGCAAACAGACUUUGAUCCGGAGAUGUCUGAAUGGGGGAACCCAGCCAUCAUAAGAUGGUUAUCUUACGCUGAAUACAUAGGCGUAAGAGGCGAACCAGGGGAACUGAAACAUCUAAGUACCCUGAGGAAAAGAAAUCAACCGAGAUUCCCUUAGUAGUGGCGAGCGAACGGGGACUAGCCCUUAAGUGGCUUUGAGAUUAGCGGAACGCUCUGGAAAGUGCGGCCAUAGUGGGUGAUAGCCCUGUACGCGAAAAUCUCUUAGUCAUGAAAUCGAGUAGGACGGAGCACGAGAAACUUUGUCUGAAUAUGGGGGGACCAUCCUCCAAGGCUAAAUACUACUGACUGACCGAUAGUGAACUAGUACCGUGAGGGAAAGGCGAAAAGAACCCCGGAGAGGGGAGUGAAAUAGAUCCUGAAACCGUAUGCGUACAAGCAGUGGGAGCAGACUUUGUUCUGUGACUGCGUACCUUUUGUAUAAUGGGUCAGCGACUUAUUUUCAGUGGCGAGCUUAACCGAAUAGGGGAGGCGUAGCGAAAGCGAGUCUUAAUAGGGCGUCUAGUCGCUGGGAAUAGACCCGAAACCGGGCGAUCUAUCCAUGGGCAGGUUGAAGGUUGGGUAACACUAACUGGAGGACCGAACCGACUACCGUUGAAAAGUUAGCGGAUGACCUGUGGAUCGGAGUGAAAGGCUAAUCAAGCUCGGAGAUAGCUGGUUCUCCUCGAAAGCUAUUUAGGUAGCGCCUCAUGUAUCACUGUAGGGGGUAGAGCACUGUUUCGGCUAGGGGGUCAUCCCGACUUACCAAACCGAUGCAAACUCCGAAUACCUACAAGUGCCGAGCAUGGGAGACACACGGCGGGUGCUAACGUCCGUCGUGAAAAGGGAAACAACCCAGACCGUCAGCUAAGGUCCCAAAGUUAUGGUUAAGUGGGAAACGAUGUGGGAAGGCUUAGACAGCUAGGAGGUUGGCUUAGAAGCAGCCACCCUUUAAAGAAAGCGUAAUAGCUCACUAGUCGAGUCGGCCUGCGCGGAAGAUGUAACGGGGCUCAAACCAUACACCGAAGCUACGGGUAUCACGUAAGUGAUGCGGUAGAGGAGCGUUCUGUAAGCCUGUGAAGGUGAGUUGAGAAGCUUGCUGGAGGUAUCAGAAGUGCGAAUGCUGACAUGAGUAACGACAAUGGGUGUGAAAAACACCCACGCCGAAAGACCAAGGUUUCCUGCGCAACGUUAAUCGACGCAGGGUUAGUCGGUCCCUAAGGCGAGGCUGAAAAGCGUAGUCGAUGGAAAACAGGUUAAUAUUCCUGUACUUCUGGUUAUUGCGAUGGAGGGACGGAGAAGGCUAGGCCAGCUUGGCGUUGGUUGUCCAAGUUUAAGGUGGUAGGCUGGAAUCUUAGGUAAAUCCGGGAUUCUAAGGCCGAGAGCUGAUGACGAGUUAACUUUUAGUUAACGAAGUGGUUGAUGCCAUGCUUCCAAGAAAAGCUUCUAAGCUUCAGGUAACCAGGAACCGUACCCCAAACCGACACAGGUGGUUGGGUAGAGAAUACCAAGGCGCUUGAGAGAACUCGGGUGAAGGAACUAGGCAAAAUGGCACCGUAACUUCGGGAGAAGGUGCGCCGGUGAGGGUGAAGGACUUGCUCCGUAAGCUCAUGCCGGUCGAAGAUACCAGGCCGCUGCGACUGUUUAUUAAAAACACAGCACUCUGCAAACACGAAAG
rnacentral:rRNA from 1 species